GCCGGCAUGGCGAAAUUGGCAGACGCAAGGGACUUAAAAUCCCUCGAGGUAACACUCGUGCCGGUUCGAGUCCGGCUGCCGGCA
rnacentral:tRNA from 1 species